GUAACGGCGAGUGAACCGGGAAGAGCUCAAGCUGAAAAUCUUCGGAAUUGUGGUCUAUAGGUGCGGACUCGCGCAGCCCAAGGUAUAAAUCCGUUCUUGGAAUUGGGUGCCAGAGAGGGUUAGAGCCCCGUCUUUGACUUUGGCAGCUGUGCGUGGCGAGUCUUUACCAGAGAGUCGGCUUGCUUGGGAAUGCAGGCCAAAAUGGGUGGUAAACUUCAUCUAAAGCUAAAUAUUGGCGAGAGACCGAUAGCGAACAAGUACUGUGAAGGAAAGAUGGAAAGAACUUUGAAAAGAGAGUGAAAAAGGGCUUGAAAUUGUUAAGAGGAGAAGUGAUUGGAGCAUAUCAUAUGGGGCGGGGUUCCAGGGACGGGAUUUAUCCUGUCUUGCACCAUCCUGUUCUCGUUGGUCAGCAUCGUUUCUGCGUGGGGGAGAAAACCUUUUCUGUUGAGGGCUUCGGCCUGAUCGGAUUUGGCGAAACCCUGGGCGGGAUCGAGGCAGCAAGUCUACGCUUGGCGGCCGGCCCCUUGCCUGUGCUGAUGAGUGUUGCACACCCUUUUUGGCGUCUGUGGCAUUUAUUGGUAUAAUGUGUGGGAGCGCUGGACCUGUAGACUUAAGAUGCUGGCACAAAUGGCUUCAAUCAGCCCGUCUUGAAACACGGACCAAGGAGUCUAACACGUAUGCGAGUAGUAAGGUGGCAAACCUUGGAUGCGCAAUGAAAGUAAAUGUAGGUGGGAUCCGCAAGGUGCACCAUCGACCGACCAGGAUCUUUUUGUGAAAGGUUUGAGUAAGAGCAUAUUUGUUGGGACCCGAAAGAUGGUGAACUAUGCCUGAAUAGGGUGAAGCCGGAGGAAACUCCGGUGGAGGCUCGUAGCGGUACUGACGUGCAAAUCGUUCGUCAAAUUUGGGUAUAGGGGCGAAAGACUAAUCGAACCAUCUAGUAGCUGGUUCCCUCCGAAGUUUCCCUCAGGAUAGCUGGAGCUCAUACAAGUUU
rnacentral:rRNA from 1 species